ACUUCCAGUUCCCUUCACCUCCUCCGCACCCCACGCCAGGCAGGACCAGAAAGGUGGACUUUCCGGGCAGGACACACAGCACAGCAGGUUUCUCUGUGUAGCCCUGGCUGUCCUGGAACUCACUCUGUAGACCAGGCUGGCCUCGAACUCAGAAAUCCGCCUGCCUCUGCCUCCCAGAGUGCUGGGAUCACAGGUGUGCGCCACCACCGGCCGGCAGUAAUUCUUUUUAUUAUUUUAAAUAUACGUGAGUGCGAAGCAAAUGCAGGGGCAUCGACCCCGACCCCCGGAGCUGGCAGCACAGGCCGCGUGCUCAUCACGGAGAGCUCCUGUAUAACUGACUAAUUGAUCCUGAGUAGCUGUGACAACAGGCCAGAGGUGCCACACCUAUUCCCCAUGCUUCCUCCGUCAACCCUUCCAGAACACCCCCACCCAUCCACCACCGGGUCACCCUGACUGUCCCCAAACAAGCCAAGCGCUGUCCCUUUUAUCCCCACUUACAAAACUCCUACUCAUCCUGCUCAGCCCCAGUUGUAAUGCCCCUCCUCCAGGAAGUCUUCCCUGAGUCUCCUGCUCAUCACCUAGUCACACGGGUUCCCGCGUCCCACGUCCGUGGAUGCCAGUGUGUCUGCCUCUAAGACACUGCCCACAGACAAACAUUUGUCAAAAACAUCUCUGGCUUCUUUGUUUGUUGGUUUUUGGUUUUGUUUUGGGUGCCUGGCUCCGAGUUUGUGUGACUGAUUUUUAUUUAAU